rnacentral:rRNA from 1 species
AAUGGGCGCAAGCCUGAUCCAGCCAUUCCGCGUGCAGGAUGAAGGCCUUCGGGUUGUAAACUGCUUUUGUACGGAACGAAACGGCCCUUUCUAAUACAGGGGGCUAAUGACGGUACCGUAAGAAUAAGCACCGGCUAACUACGUGCCAGCAGCCGCGGUAAUACGUAGGGUGCAAGCGUUAAUCGGAAUUACUGGGCGUAAAGCGUGCGCAGGCGGUUAUGUAAGACAGUUGUGAAAUCCCCGGGCUCAACCUGGGAACUGCAUCUGUGACUGCAUAGCUAGAGUACGGUAGAGGGGGAUGGAAUUCCGCGUGUAGCAGUGAAAUGCGUAGAUAUGCGGAGGAACACCGAUGGCGAAGGCAAUCCCCUGGACCUGUACUGACGCUCAUGCACGAAAGCGUGGGGAGCAAA